AGUAACACCAUAUGUUUUUCUAACAAGCAGAUUAUUUAUAGCAUUUAUCUUCUAUUAGUAUGCUUUUGAGAGACAUGCCUUGUCUUCUUCACAUUCAGAAACAUCGUUUCCAGAAUGUGUAUUGUUGAAGAAUUGAAUCUCAUUUUAAUAUGCAGAGGAAUCUUUUCCCCUCUUUGGCCAUUAUAGAUUUGUUUUAAAAUAGACAUAUAGUCUCUAUACAUCUAUCCAGGAUAUAGCAUAUAAGCGUUGCUUACAUCUAUCCAGGAUAUAGCAUAUAAGCGUUGCUUGAGUAGGAUCUGCUGCAGUAUUGUCUGAAACGCUACACAUCCCCUUCAUGAUCUGUUUUCCUUGUUACCUUCUGGGAGGAAGUUUCGUGGUAUCCGAAGCAGAACAUCCAGAUUCAGCCACAGUUUUGGUCCAUACAGUAUCAACCUUGUGAACUCUCAAGCUUCCUCUUUCAGCUAUGUAUUCAAGAUGGACAGUGACUAAUAUUUAUAUUUCUUUAUAUAUAUUUUGCUGCCUUCUUCUUUCCAUAGUAUCUCAUCAUGUCUUCAGAUCCCUCAAGGCCUGGUCCUUCUGGAGCACUUGGCAUUCCUCCUGUCCCGAAACCUGACAGUCCAUUGGUUCCAGUUCCAGAGAAACCAUGGCCAGAAGGACCACCAAAACCAGAAGGUCCUCAGCCCUUGGGGCCUCUAGUGCCUGGAAAACCUUGGCCAGAAGGUCCUCCUAUAUCACCACAUCCCCCGCAACCCAAAUUUCCACAACCACCAAAGCCCUUGGGGCCUCACAACCCAGGGCAAUUUCCUGGAUCACUUAAUCCCCCAUUUCCUGAUGAUCCUUACCCACCCUUACCCCUGCUGCCAACGGCACCUUGGCCACCACUGCCUGAGCGGGAUGAUUUAGGAAAUCUUCCUGAAGAUCGUUCUGGGGAGGAUUAAUAUUUGUCAUGAUCUCCUUGUAGCAAAUAUGGAACUGUACCUUAUUUUUCUUCCAAGGAUGUACCAUCUUCAAUGUCCAUCUGAACUUUUAAAAAAAGAGUAUUCCAAAUUUAGACAUUCUUGAAAUGUUCUUGGAGGUUGUGUGUCAACAGGAAUAGAAAAAGGGAAGAGAUGAAAGAAAUGGAUGGAUUAUGAGAAUCAAUCUCACGUCUAUGAUGUUGAUAUUCUGAUAAGCAAAUCUUACCUGUAAAUAAACACCUUUCUUAUGUUUUGAAUUGA